rnacentral:misc_RNA from 1 species
AAAGGAUAAUUGGCAUUAUCGUUAAAGAAAUUGAAAGCAACAUUUCAAAGAAUACAUUUCUUACAAAUUUCAGAAUGGGUCCCUUACCUGCUCUUUGCAAGAAAUUUGUGGAGCUUGUGGAGAUUUUGAAAGAUGGUGAUCCAUCCAAGCGAGAUAAUGUGGUAUUAUUGCUGCUGGACAUGUUAGAAGUAGUUACCCGUGAUAUGAUGGUGAAUGAGAAUCGCGAAUCGAUGGACCUUGGACAUGGCGGAAAGGAUUCAGGAAGGCAACUUUUUUCUGGUACUGAUGCAAAACCUGCUAUAAUGUUCCCUCCUGUAGUUACAGCACAGUGGGAUGAACAGAUAAGGCGUCUUCAUCUUCUUUUGACUGUAAAAGAAUCUGCUAUGGAUGUACCAACAAACCUUGAAGCACGUAGAAGGAUUUCAUUCUUCACGAAUUCCUUGUUUAUGGAUAUGCCACGUGCUCCCCGAGUCCGUAAAAUGCUUUCAUUCAGUGUCAUGACCCCAUAUUACAGUGAAGAGACUAUUUAUUCGAAAUCUGACCUUGAAAUGGAGAAUGAAGAUGGUGUAUCAAUCAUUUACUACUUGCAAAAGAUCUACCCAGAUGAAUGGAACAACUUCAUGGAACGACUCAAUUGUAAAAAGGAGAGUGAAAUUUGGGAAAAUGAAGAAAACAUUUUGCUUCUACGUCAUUGGGCCUCCUUAAGAGGUCAAACUCUUUUCCGCACAGUUAGAGGGAUGAUGUAUUACAGACGGGCUUUGAAACUUCAGGCCUUCCUUGAUAUGGCUAGAGAGACUGAGAUACUAGAAGGCUAUAAAGCAAUUUCAAUUCCAUCUGAGGAAGAUAAGAAAAGCCAAAGAUCCCUGUAUGCUAAACUAGAGGCAGUAGCAGACAUGAAAUUCACAUAUGUUGCUACCUGUCAAAAUUAUGGAAAUCAGAAGCGGAGUGGUGAUCGCCAUGCAACAGAUAUCCUGAAUUUGAUGGUUAACAAUCCCUCCCUACGUGUUGCAUAUAUUGACGAAGUUGAAGAAAGUGAUGGUGUAAAAGCUCAGAAGGUUUACUAUUCUGUGUUGAUCAAAGCUCUUGAUAAUCUUGAUCAGGAAAUCUAUCGUAUAAAAUUGCCAGGUUCUGCAAAAUUAGGAGAAGGAAAGCCUGAAAAUCAGAAUCAUGCGAUAAUAUUUACCCGAGGUGAAGCUCUUCAAGCCAUUGACAUGAAUCAGGAUAAUUACUUAGAAGAAGCAUUCAAAAUGCGCAACCUUCUUGAAGAAUUUCAUGAGGAUCAUGGGGUGCGUCCACCUACAAUUUUAGGUGUUCGUGAACAUAUCUUCACAGGAAGUGUUUCUUCUCUGGCUUGGUUCAUGUCAAAUCAAGAAACGAGUUUUGUCACCAUUGGUCAAAGAGUUCUUGCAAGACCAUUGAAGAUCCGGUUCCAUUAUGGGCAUCCAGAUGUGUUUGAUAGAAUCUUUCACAUCACCAGGGGUGGCAUCAGCAAGGCUUCUCGUGGUAUCAAUUUGAGCGAGGAUAUCUUUGCCGGUUUCAAUUCAACAUUAAGACGAGGGAAUGUCACUCAUCAUGAGUAUAUUCAAGUAGGGAAAGGUCGAGAUGUUGGACUCAACCAAAUCUCUCUUUUUGAAGCAAAAGUGGCAUGUGGCAAUGGGGAGCAAACCCUCAGCAGGGAUAUCUACAGAUUGGGCCAUCGUUUUGACUUCUUCCGCAUGCUUUCCUGCUAUUUUACAACAAUUGGCUUUUAUGUCAGUGCAAUGAUGGUUGUCCUUACGGUCUAUGCUUACUUGUAUGGCAAGCUUUACCUAUCAUUGAGUGGAUUGGAGGGUUCAAUAAUAAAAUAUGCAAGGAUUAGGGGAGAUGAUCCGCUAAAGGCAGCCAUGGCCUCGCAAUCCCUUGUCCAAAUAGGUCUUUUGAUGGCCUUGCCCAUGGUCAUGGAGAUGGGACUGGAGAGAGGGUUCAGAACAGCAUUAGGUGACAUAAUCAUCAUGCAGCUUCAGCUUGCUGCUGUUUUCUUUACCUUCUCCCUUGGUACAAAGGCCCAUUAUUAUGGACGAACUGUGUUGCAUGGAGGGGCAAAAUACAGAGCUACUGGGCGUGGUUUUGUGGUCCGGCAUGAGAAGUUUGCUGAGAACUAUAGGAUGUACUCAAGGAGCCACUUUGUCAAAGGGCUGGAGCUUAUGAUAUUGCUUAUAUGUUAUCAGAUAUAUGGAAAGGCAGCAACUGAUGCAACAGCUUAUGCAUUUCUCACAUUCUCAAUGUGGUUCUUAGUGGCUUCUUGGUUGUUUGCUCCUUUCCUUUUUAACCCAUCUGGAUUUGAAUGGCAGAAGAUUGUAGAUGAUUGGGAUGAUUGGACGAAGUGGAUAAGCAGCCAGGGAGGUAUCGGUGUACCUGCAAACAAGAGCUGGGAGUCUUGGUGGGAAGAGGAACAGGAGCACCUUCAACAUACUGGCCUUCUGGGUCGAUUAUGUGAGAUUAUUCUUGCCAUGCGCUUCAUCGUCUAUCAAUAUGGAAUUGUCUAUCAACUACAAGUGACCAGGGAAAGUUCAGCUGGCAGAAGUCGGAGCAUUGCUGUUUAUGGUCUGUCCUGGCUGGUAAUUGUUGCUGUGAUGAUCAUCUUAAAGAUUGUUUCCAAGGGCAGAAAAAAAUUUAGCGCAGAUUUCCAGUUGAUGUUCAGACUUCUUAAGUUGUUUCUGUUUAUAGGAUUUAUGGUCAUUCUUGUUAUUCUGUUUACCACCCUUCAUCUCACAGUUGGAGACAUUUUUCAGAGCUUACUAGCCUUUCUGCCUACCGGAUGGGCGCUUCUGCAGAUAUCACAAGCAUCAAGACCAUUGUUAAAGGGUAUCAAAAUGUGGGGGUCUGUGAAGGCUCUUGCUAGAGGAUAUGAAUACAUGAUGGGAUUGGUCAUCUUUACACCAGUAGCUGUACUGGCCUGGUUCCCAUUCGUAUCGGAGUUCCAGACCAGGCUUCUGUUCAACCAAGCAUUCAGUCGAGGGCUUCAGAUCCAACGUAUUCUGGCUGGUGGGAAGAAGAACAAAUAGGUGCUGCCUCCACUUGAUCUUGAUUAUAAUUUUGGUGGGCCAUGGCCAUGUCCCCUGUUCAUAUGUACCAUAGAGAUGGCCGCAACAUGAAAGUGUCUGUUGUGUUUUAUCUUUGGCCUUGGUCGUAUUUGAAAGAAUGCAUAAGUUUGUUCUUUGAGUUCCUUACCAAUCGUAAAUAAUUUUCUUCAACAAUGAUAUUGAAAUUAAAUUCAAUGCAAUAUAUUGCAAAAA